GCUAAAUACUCCUGACUGACCGAUAGUGAACCAGUACCGUGAGGGAAAGGCGAAAAGAACCCCGGCGAGGGGAGUGAAAAAGAACCUGAAACCGUGUACGUACAAGCAGUGGGAGCACGCUUAGGCGUGUGACUGCGUACCUUUUGUAUAAUGGGUCAGCGACUUAUAUUCUGUAGCAAGGUUAACCGAAUAGGGGAGCCGAAGGGAAACCGAGUCUUAACUGGGCGUUAAGUUGCAGGGUAUA
rnacentral:rRNA from 1 species